AGAGCUAUAGGUUAAAAAAACCGUUGGCCUUCAAAGCCGGCAUUGAUUUAUUUCUGGCUCUG
rnacentral:tRNA from 1 species